UCUCGCGUAAGCAUGAUGUGUGCAUGAAAAUCUGGCCACAAGCAUUUUCCACAACGACUUCCAUUUUUUAGCGUCUUUAGCUAGACAAAAUUUAAAUAAAUUAAUAAAUCUAGAUCUACAUCUAACUCACAUAACUAUGGCAGAAACAAAAAUAGAACGGCCAAGAUCUAGGUCAAGAUCUCGUUCUCCAGUUCGUAGAUCUCGGUCAAGAUCCCCCAGAAGAAACAGAAGUGACCGCCCAAGACCAUUUACUGGAGGCAGACGUAUAGUUGUUCGUAACAUUCCUUAUGAAAUCAGAUGGCAGGAACUUAAAGACAUGUUUAGAAAAGACAUUGGAGAUGUCACAUAUGUGGAAAUGUUGGAAACACCAGAUGGUAAAUCAAAGGGUGUUGCAGUGGUGGAGUUCCGAGAUCCAGAUCAUGCCAAAAAAGCAAUUGAAGAAUAUCACCAGAAAAAAAUCAAAGAUCGAGCUAUUAUAGUUAGAGAGGAACGAGAAAAGGACCGCCAAGAAUUUAUGCAACAUCAAAACAUGCGUGAAAGAGGUGGAAUGGAUUCUGGCAUGGGAUGCCCUCCUGGAAUGGGACCAGUUGGUAUGGGUGGUGGUGCUGGUGGCGGCUUAGGUCCAGUUGGUUUGCCCCCUGGCAUCAAUCCACAGAUUCUUCAACAGCUAGGAAUUGAGCCACCAAUAACAAACACUGUAUUUGUUGCUAAUUUGGAUUAUAAAGUAACUUGGUGGAAAUUAAAAGAUGUCUUUAAACUGGCUGGAAAUGUAAUCAAGGCUGAAAUCAAAGAAGAUAAAAAUGGAAAAUCAAGAGGAAUGGGAGUAGUUGUAUUUGAACAUCCAAUGGAAGCAGUGCAGGCAGUCUCUAUGUUUAAUGGACAAGUUUUAUAUGAGAGAAACAUGAUUGUCAGGAUUGAUAAAGGAAGAGAACCGGAGAAACCAAAAUUACCAAGUGGCCUAAAGUCUAUUGGCAUGGGCCUUGGUUCAGGCGGUCAGCCUUUGACUAACAUAGCACAGUUGGGAAAUGGAGGAAUGGAUCCUUACUACAAACAAGAUCUGGGUCUAGGGGGUGGUGGAGGCUUAAUGGGAAUGGGUGGUUCAGGACUUGGCCUUUUGGGUUCUGGAAUGGGAGGACCUGACCUAGGUCUAGGUGGUCUUGGUGGCCUUGGGGGAUUAGGAGGAAUGGGUAUGGGUCUUGGCUCUGGAUCUGGGUCUGGUGGAAUGGGACUAGGUGGUCUUGGUGGUUCAGAUAUUGGGAUUGGUGGGGGUUCCAAGAUGGGCAUGUCUGACAAUUAUUCCAAUAGUUAUGCUAACAUGGGCAGUUCCAGCUUUAAUGGCAACAGCAGUUUGUCAGGUCUAGGAGGGUUAGGCCCAAGCCUGAGUACUUUGUCAGCAGGUCUAGGUGGACUGGGUGGGACAGGUGACAGGUUAGGUCUUGGUGGUACUGACAGGAUGGGCCUGGACAGUAUGGGACUGGGUAGAGACAGAAUGGGAAUAGAUAGGAUGGGUGUUAUGAAUGAUAGGAUGGGAGGAUUGGGGGAUAGAAUAGGAGUAUUAGGGGAUAGAAUGGGAGGAAUGGAUAGAAUGGGAGAUAAAAUGAGGGAUAACUAUGGUGGAGGAAGUGGACGGGAAUUAAGAGACAUGCGAGAAGAUGGCGGAAGAAGAACCACACGUCCUGACAACUGCACAAUCAUGGUUAAAAAUUUACCAUACAGUGUGAAUUGGCAAACAUUGAAAGAGCAUUUCCGUGAUGCAGGUGAUGUGAAGUUUGCUGAAAUUGUUAUGGAUAAAGGAAGAUCUACUGGAGUUGGUUAUGUAAGGUUCAGUAAUGAAAUUGAUGCACAAAGAGCUAUAAGUUUGAAAAACAAAUCCAGAAUGGAAAGACGAAAUAUUGAUGUUUCUCUUCAUCGGAACUGAUUGCUAUCCAGUAAAAAUGGUUGGUAUAAAAGUAUCCUGGUGUCCCUCCAUGUAUUGAGUUUGUAAAUGUGACAUUCAAACAUCAAUGACACAAGAUCUAUGAGAACAGUUUCCAGGAUCGUCACAAUAGAUUGGCGAUUACUUCGUCAGACCAGAUGCUACAAGCAAAUACUGAAAAAUUGCUGUCAGUGACAUCAGUGGGCCACAACAUUUUGGCUAUCAUUUGACAGGUCUCAGUUGCCAUGAAAGAUAUACAAGAAAUAAAGCAAAUUAAAUGUGAACAUAGGAUUUUGUUUUCUUUGAAAUAUUUUUAUAUGAGCUGGAAUGCUUUAAAAAUAUUUAAAGUCUUUUUAAAAUGACUAAAAAUGUUUAAUAAAUAAAAAUCAAUUAUUAAAAAGUUAAUUAGAAGUAGAAAUAAUUGAUAACACCAUUUUAAAAAUUUAAUUCCUAGUAUUAUGAAACAUUUUCUAAAUAUGUCACAUUAAAAUAUUUGUGAUGGUUUCAUUAAUUUUUAUUUUAUGCACCCUCAUAGUACUUUUUAGAUCCAAUACAUUACAUUUGUACUGAAAAUUACUGAGUAAAUAUUCAAAAUAAUUAUAAGUUUAUUUUCAACUUGGCAACUAGAUCUAGUUUCCUGCUGGAGACAAGACUUCUUCAUUAAAAAAAACUUUCAUAUAAUUUGAUCAUCAACAAAAAAUAUUUUUUAAAACUCUUUGAAAAUAUCAGAAUGCAUAUCAAAUUGUUCAAGUUUAUUGAUAGAAGAUAGUUACACCACUACAUGGUGAAUGGGGAAGUUGGCUUGGUUGAAAAUGGAAUUGCUAAGGUGAAAGAGUUCUUGUGUCAAGGUUUUUUUUAAAUCUUCACUGUUAAUAAAUUGUGCCCCAAAUAAUAAUUAAAAUCUUUAAAAAGUUUUCUUUACAAUGUUUUUCUGGAAUAAGUGUCCAGCUGAAGCUUGUUUGUCACCAAAUAUCUUCUCAUUUCAUCUAGCUCAGUGUUUCCCAAACUUUUGACCUAUGUGCACCACCUUCUAGAAUUUUCAUAACGCUGAUUACCCCCCCCCCCCCUUUUUUUAAAAAAAGGAUUUAUUUUAAGUACAAUUAAUUUUUUUUUUUGUAGGCCUAAAUACACAAGAUAAUGAUUACUCUAUCACAAUGAAAUAUUCAAAAUAGUUUGUUUUUUUUAUGCUUCGGAGACACAUCCAAUACAUUCUAAAAAAAAACAGUUGACGGAAGUUGUAACAUCCCUAUCCAUUUCCGGAUCUUUGUAGAACUUUGUCUUUUUCAUCAUCAUCACCCCAUUGAGUUCCUCAUGGAACAUAGGGCCUCGACAAAAACACGCCACUCUCCACGGUCUCUUGCAAGUAUUUUAAUGGCUCUCCAGCUCUUUCCUGUCUUAUUGGCUUCAUUUAGUAGGCUACACUGUGUCGCCACGUUCUUUUUGGUCUUCCUCUGCGUCUUGUUCCCUGGGGGUUCCACUCUAAGGCCUGCCUAGCUCUGUUGCUGAUAUCUUUUCUAAGGGUGUGACCAAUCCAUCUCCACUUCCUCUCUAAGAUCUGCACUUCUAAAUUUUUGUCCACUCAUCUCCCACAGUUUGGUGUUUUCUACUUUGUCAUACCAGUGUAUUUUUAGGAUAUUUCUCAGGCAUGUGUUGAUGAAGGUCUGAACUUUGUCUUAACAUGUAAAAAAAGCGCUGUAUUUGAGUUUGGUGAAAACAUAAACUAAAUAAAUAAUAAAAACAAUUUAAAACUUAUGAUAUUUUAUUCUAAUUUAUAAACCAACUGGAUAUUUAUUUUUCAAAGAAUCAGCAUAGUUAGCUAUGUGCAACACGUUCCCCUUUAAACUCUUCCCGCACCCCACUUUGGGAAACACUGAGCCAGUUGUUGAAUUUUUUUAAAAUUUUCAGAUUGCAGAAUGAGGAAAAGAUGGUGAAACUGAUUUUAAUUUUUAAAACAUUCUUUUUUUUUUGCUAACACUAAAGAAGACAUGAGGUAUUAGCCACUUAUAAUUUUUUUUUUUUUGUAAAGCUUAUUUAUGCAUGCUUCAUUUUUUGGUGUGUGAAGUUAUAAUUAAAGAACAAGAAUUUGUUACAGUAUUUUUCUUGGCUACUUUUUAAUUCAGAAUUCCAAUUAUGGUGGUACGUAUGUAAAAACAAAUCUUAGUUCAUUACAUAUGCAUGCCUAUGUGCAUUUUUUCAUUUAGCUUGUUGUACUGAGGGUCUACUUUCUGUCAGUACAACUUAUUUUUGGCAAAACCUUCCAGGAUUUGUUUUACUGAAGCAUUUGAAAUUUCUUGACAAAAUAAAUUUAAAAUAAAUACUCUUCUGUUGGUCUUCAAUUUAUUAUAUUUUUUUUAAAAGCUCAACAAGUGGAAGUUAAAUUAAUUUUUUUUUCUUUUUAAUUUGAUAAUUCAUUUUGCUUUUAAUUAUCUCUUACAAAUAUCAUGGCUAUCACAAAAUUUUAGUUUCUGUAUAUUAUUUUGGACUAAAAGUCAAGUGAAUAAAUAUUUUUCUAUUUUAAAAGGGGUAGGUGCCUUGCAUUCAAUUUUGUUUUGAUGAAAACUUGAGACUGUUGCAUUAUACAAUUCAAGAAAUGCUACAACAAAGUAUAUAAUUAAACUGCACUUUGUACUAAUAAGAUAAAAGUUUAAAAUAAAAUAAUUUAUACUCAAUGAAAAUGAAAGAGGUGUUUGAAUAUACAAAUAAUUUACUUCUUUUUACAAGUAUCAUUGUACAUAUUUAAACAGUAAAAAAAAACAACAAGUUGAAUAUUAGUCAUCCAAUAUUUACAAAAACUGUCAUAAAAAAUAUUUACAAUUUAUAUUGCAGCAAAUCUGAUUGUUUUAUGCUGGUGCUAAGCAUGUAAAUGUUUCUUAAUCUAGUACAAAUUUAAAAUGUCAUAAGGGAAGAAAGGUGAGUUUUUGUUGCAGGUUAGUAAAAACACAAAAGCACACAUCAACAUGAAACUAGUGAUUAGGUUUGUAGGCUAUUUUCAAACAAAUAGAAUAUUUUGUUCAGCUUUCAUGUAUGUGAUUUUAUGUAUGUGAUGUGCUUCCUAGAAAUAAAAAAAGAAUCAAAAUAUUUCUUUUGUUUCCUACUGAAAUAUUUGUUAAAGAAACACAUGUAAAAUGUGUACCAGUAUGCUUGAAAAUAUUCGUUACAAAUUUUUUCAAAAACUUCAUAAUAAGCUUUUAAAAAUUUAAAAACAUGAAUUAGUCUAACAACCAAACAAUCUGCCCCAGGUAGGUUGGAAGUAUGUAACUCAAACAUUACCACAUAUAAAAUCAUCUCUACCAUCAUAAGAACCAUUAACCAGAAUAUACAUGGUUGGCUGGAAGUAGACUGUUAUGGAGCGUUUGCAGAUAUGACCUGAGAAAAGGUGGGCAGAUGGUUUGGUUGUGUAGGCUAAAUAGAUUUUGAUGAAACCAUUAGGUGGCAUUUGUAGUUCAAGUUAUUAAAUACUGGUCUAAAAGUCGAAGAGGGGAGUACACGCAUAACGAGAGACGUAUGUCAGAAGGACAUGUAUUUUUAGUGAGUUAACAGAAUAUCUUGUUUAAAGUAUCUUAUCUAAUUUGUAUUCUUAUAUACAUCUAUAUUAAGUUGAAAGCUAUGUAUA